rnacentral:rRNA from 1 species
CACUCCUACGGGAGGCAGCAGUGGGGAAUAUUGGACAAUGGGCGCAAGCCUGAUCCAGCCAUGCCGCGUGAGUGAUGAAGGCCCUAGGGUUGUAAAGCUCUUUCACCGGUGAAGAUAAUGACGGUAACCGGAGAAGAAGCCCCGGCUAACUUCGUGCCAGCAGCCGCGGUAAUACGAAGGGGGCUAGCGUUGUUCGGAUUUACUGGGCGUAAAGCGCACGUAGGCGGACUAUUAAGUCAGGGGUGAAAUCCCGGGGCUCAACCCCGGAACUGCCUUUGAUACUGGUAGUCUUGAGUUCGAGAGAGGUGAGUGGAAUUCCGAGUGUAGAGGUGAAAUUCGUAGAUAUUCGGAGGAACACCAGUGGCGAAGGCGGCUCACUGGCUCGAUACUGACGCUGAGGUGCGAAAGCGUGGGGAGCAAACAGGAUUAGAUACCCGGGUAGUCCCAU